UGGGGAAUAUUGGACAAUGGGCGCAAGCCUGAUCCAGCCAUGCCGCGUGAGUGAUGAAGGCCCUAGGGUUGUAAAGCUCUUUCACCGGUGAAGAUAAUGACGGUAACCGGAGAAGAAGCCCCGGCUAACUUCGUGCCAGCAGCCGCGGUAAUACGAAGGGGGCUAGCGUUGUUCGGAUUUACUGGGCGUAAAGCGCACGUAGGCGGACUAUUAAGUCAGGGGUGAAAUCCCGGGGCUCAACCCCGGAACUGCCUUUGAUACUGGUAGUAUUGAGUUCGAGAGAGGUGAGUGGAAUUCCGAGUGUAGAGGUGAAAUUCGUAGAUAUUCGGAGGAACACCAGUGGCGAAGGCGGCUCACUGGCUCGAUACUGACGCUGAGGUGCGAAAGCGUGGGGAGCAAACAGG
rnacentral:rRNA from 1 species